AUUCUGCCCAUGCGGGGAAGGAUGAGAAGCUUCGACUAAGGUUCGGCUCGAGCGUCAGCGAGAGAGCGUUGCCGCAGGCAACGACCCGAAG
rnacentral:sRNA from 1 species